AGACUUGGUGUCAAAUCUGAUCAUUAGGGUGGUGGUCCUUGUCCCAGCUCUGCUCAUAUUUGAUCUUUGCCUCUUCUUCUUCUAUAAGGUCUCCGUGAAGCGGAUCCGAUUGAAGGCGGAGUCAAACACAAUGAGAGUUCUGGAAGAAACCUCCCAUUUGUAGAGUCCCAGUUGUUCAGUGUGAGUCCAGCUGAUAUUUGGAUCGGAUCAACAGUUUCACAGCUGAACCAAUAAACGCCUUCAUUCUGUUCUGAUGCUUCACCAUCCAUCAGCGUCUCAGCUUCUAUUCACAGAGUUUAUACACAUUGUGUCAUCACACCGUCCAUACACAGCCGUGUGUGGAAUUUGAAGAGUCUGGGUCAAAGGGAAAUAUGAAACCCACCUGAAAAUGGGACGCAAACUGAGGCGCAGACGCAGCCUGAAGCACC